rnacentral:rRNA from 1 species
AGGGGUUUUCCGUAGGUGACCUGCGGAAGGACAUUA